AUUGAACGCUGGCGGCAUGCCUUACACAUGCAAGUCGAACGGCAGCGGGGGAGAAGCUUGCUUUUCCUGCCAGCGAGUGGCGAACGGGUGAGUAGUGCUUCGGAACGUACCCAAUCGUGGGGGAUAACGUAGCGAAAGUUACGCUAAUACCGCAUAAGUCCUGAGGGAGAAAGCAGGGGAUCGCAAGACCUUGCGCGAAUGGAGCGGCCGAUGUCGGAUUAGCUAGUUGGUGAGGUAAAGGCUCACCAAGGCGACGAUCCGUAGCUGGUCUGAGAGGACGACCAGCCACACUGGGACUGAGACACGGCCCAGACUCCUACGGGAGGCAGCAGUGGGGAAUUUUGGACAAUGGGCGAAAGCCUGAUCCAGCCAUGCCGCGUGAGUGAAGAAGGCCUUCGGGUUGUAAAGCUCUUUCGGACAGAAAGAAAUCUUCCGGGCUAAUACCUCGGAAGGAUGACGGUACUGUAAGAAGAAGCACCGGCUAACUACGUGCCAGCCGCCGCCGUAA
rnacentral:rRNA from 1 species